CCUAGCGGAAAGAAGCCAGACACACAAAGUCACAGGCUGUGUGAUUCCAUUUGCAUGAAGUGUCCGGAGGUGGCAAAUCCAGAGACACAGAUAGCAGACUGGUGGUUUCCAGAGAAGGAUGGAGAAUGACUGCUCAUGGGCACAGCGUUUCCUUUUAGGGUGACGAAGAUGUUCUGGAACUAGGUGGGGUGACGGCUGCACAACAUUGCAAAUGUGCUACAUGUCACGAAUGUAACUUUUACAUUGCGCUUAUUUCGCCACAAUAAAAAAAGUUAAAGCAAAAAGAAAGAGAUGGGCAAGACUAAACUACCGUGAAUAAGGAUGCCCAGCGGGUGAUACAAUCAUAAGAAGCAAAACGCAAGGAAAUGGUUCCUGUCAAUGUCAGGAUGAUGAUUACUUAUUGUACUUGGGGACGUGGAGGGGCUUCUGAGAUGACUAACAAAAGUCUAUGACUGGACCUGGAUGGUUCGGAAAACAAAGGCAGAGAGAGAAAAGUGUUCCAGCAGCUUUAGACAGGAGGCUGUAAUGCACAUUUUGUUCACUGCCUCUUUUCGUUCCUAUGUACAUGUAUUUGUUCCCAGCCUUGUCCCAGGAAAGAGUGAAAGGAGUCAAGCAAGGACAGAAGCACAUCAAGAUUGUUCUGGUCUUAUAUGUCAGUCGGGUUCCUACGUGAUAGUAUUUGGCAGAAAAAGAGGCCUUUUCCCCAAAUGUGCAGACGUUCUAAUGAGACCAAAUCGUGCAACUGCCAUCACUCGAAAACCAGAGAUUACAUCUUCCUCUCCCGCAACGUUUUUGUUUUCGUUUUUUGGGGUUUUUUGGUGAGGAAGAUUGGCCCUGAGCUAACAUCUGUGCCCAUCUUCCUCCAUUUUAUAUGUGGGAUGCCACCACAGCAUGGCUUGAUGAGCAGUGUGUAGGUCCAUGCCUGGGAUGUGAACCUGCAAACCUCGAGCCACCAAAGCAAAACACGCGAACUUAGCCACUAUGCCACCGGCCUGGCCUCUUUCCCUCAACAUUUUUAAAUCUCACUUCUUUAUCAUGAGCCGGGUUGGAAUGACUCCUUAGAUGUGAAGAUGCAUCUUACAGAUAUGGGUGAAGCACGUGGUAUUAUGUUUUAGUUUUUGAGUAUUUGAAGUUUUAGGGCCAAAAUAGUCUUGGGCCAUCAGUCAGGGAAACGUGUAAAAUGUGGGCCAAUUAAACUGAGAUGAAAAUGGGCUAACGUGAGAAUUUCAAAAGCAACAGGAAACCUUAUAUGGGAAGAAUUUGCAUUCACGUGCACAGACGCCAAGGAUACGGAGGAAAAAAGCACAGACAGUCUCGCUGAGGUAGGACAGUCGAAACUAUGAAGUAAAGAGACUUACUAAGGAGAUGUGUGUAGUUAUUUAGAAAUCCUUGGACUUCCACUCCAGGGAAGAUGCAGUAGGUCUACAUGUCCCGAUUCCUCCACUAAAUGCAACUGAAAACCUUGGGCAGUGCGUACGAACCCAACACAAGGAGGCACUGAAAGGUGGGCAGAAGGCAAGCCUGCUCUCGACAAAAGGCCCAGGAGAGGAACAGCUCAAGGAAAUUGCAACUAAAGGACCCUGGGAAAUGGGUUGAGAUCUUUGGUUCUGAGAAACCUUCAAGGGACUAGAAGUGUUUUUCACUUGAAGGUUUAGCUUCCUAUUUCUUUUCAAACCUGGAGUCCAUUUCCCUUUGACUCAGGACUCCAGGGAGCAAACAAAAGAGGAAACAGGAAAUCACAAUCAGAAUCUUCUGGAAGGAAUGGGAUAUAAAAGAGAAGUGUGUUCCCAUGACAUUGAGGUUGCUCUGGUGUGUGGAAGGCAAUAGGGGGAAUGUGGUACCCACUCACCAAAUUCUCCUGGAGUGGAAUGGACAGAGCUAGAAGUUUCUUUAAACAGUCAUUCCAGCCAACUGUGGAUGACACGUAAGGAGGUCCUAGAGGCCACAGAUCUCAGGCCGAGUUGAAACGGACUCUGCAGGCAUCAAAUGCAAAAUUAUUUUAGCAGGAGAAAGGAUAGGUGGCCCUCAGGGCUCUGCAGAGUCCUGCAGACACCAGCAGGAGGCAGCACCAUGCGUGGUCUCCUAGCCAGCCUCUUCAGGCGUCCCCUUCCAGACUUCCUCUUCCUUGUCUGUUGAGCAGACUCACCAGUCUGUCUGUGCAAAUGUGUGUGUGCGGUUCUUAAUCACAAUUCACCUGCAAACCUGUUAGUGGCACAGAUGAUGGUGGAGGCAGCAAAGGAUGCUCCUCUAGGACCUCUUAUCACCCCUGCAGGGGGACCUGUCAGGAAGGGAUGGUGUAAGGCAAGGCAUCCCCCACAUCCUCCUUAGAGAUGCUAAGGUCCCCAAGCAUUUGAAACCCUAUCAGC
rnacentral:lncRNA from 1 species